rnacentral:rRNA from 1 species
AUUGAACGCUGGCGGCAUGCCUUACACAUGCAAGUCGAACGGUAACAGGUUAAGCUGACGAGUGGCGACCGGGUGAGUAAUGUAUCGGAACGUGCCCAGUCGUGGGGGAUAACUGCUCGAAAGAGCAGCUAAUACCGCAUACGACCUGAGGGUGAAAGCGGGGGAUCGCAAGCCCUCGCGCGAUUGGAGCGGCCGAUAUCAGAUUAGGUAGUUGGUGAGGUAAAGGCUCACCAAGCCGACGAUCUGUAGCUGGUCUGAGAGGACGACCAGCCACACUGGGACUGAGACACGGCCCAGACUCCUACGGGAGGCAGCAGUGGGGAAUUUUGGACAAUGGGCGCAAGCCUGAUCCAGCCAUGCCGCGUGCGGGAAGAAGGCCUUCGGGUUGUAAACCGCUUUUGUCAGGGAAGAAAAGGUUCUGGCUAAUACCUGGGACUCAUGACGGUACCUGAAGAAUAAGCACCGGCUAACUACGUG